AGGAGCCAUAGAAGCAUUAACAUCAUGCAUUGGCUGCUGAGCAAAUACUGACCCACCAGCAGUCCCCGCCAUUUGAGGGUUUGGAUAUCCUAUUUGAGGAGGGGGAUGUAAAUAAUCCUGACGAGGAUUCCGAUAUGCCUGGAAAUGAGGUGCAGUUGGUUGAAUGGGCAUUCCGGUUUGUGGUAACUCGUAACCGAAGUGCUGCUGUGAGACAUUAACAGGUGCAGACCUUUCAAAGUCGACUUCAUGUGGGGAGAUUAAAGCUGUAGGAGAAGCGGAGUUGAUAAGUGGAAUACCUAAUGAAACAGAUGAUGAUGUAUCUGCUGCAUAAAGUGGUGGGGAGUUAGGAUCCACUUGCACCAAUCUUGGGGUAAGCCCGCCGCCUGAUGGAGGUCUAGUUAUUUCCCCUUGUCCACUGCUUGAGAUGUUGUCAGCAGCUUCAGCACCACUAAUAUCA
rnacentral:lncRNA from 1 species